GGAGGGGUGGCAGAGUGGUUGAUUGCGACGGUCUUGAAAACCGUUGGCCCUCCGGGGCUCGUGGGUUCGAAUCCCACCCCCUCCGCCA
rnacentral:tRNA from 1 species